CAUAUACCUAUUUGGGUUUUAAACGCCCCGAUUACUCUGGGAGUAACGGGUAAGAGCGGAUCUUCUUCUCAGCGCAUCAAGGAAGAGUAACAUUUUUCAAAAGUUAACAAUAUCAUUUAUAGCUGACAAACAUCGGUGCUUAUCGGGCAUA